CAUGAAGGUACUUUGUGUGAUUUCUCACAUGUUCAGGGCAGACCCACAGGACUCUUGUGUGCUUUGGAGAUGACACGAGUGUUUGAAAGGCACACAGCUGCACAGCCAGCUGGGGGCUGUCUGUCUGAAAGUAACGGCCUCUUGGUUCUCAGCUCAGAGAGUUCUGUCACAGAGGUGUAGCAGGUGUGAGUGCUGUCGGCACCAGGAUCCUGCUUCCUGUUAGCCACAGACAGAGAGGAGGAACAUCCAGCAAGUGCCUUCAUGCAGAGGUAAAUCACAAAAACGACUUGGGUGUUACCACACCUUACUAGCUGUGACCCAAUAGAGAGUUACCCACGUGAAGGCCCCAGCACUGCACACAGGUGGGCCAUGCCCAGUUGGAUGGAGGCCAUCCUCACACUGCUGGCCCUUGGACAUGCCUUGGGCUGGGCCCAGGACUGGCAAUUCAGCAUAGAAAGUGACCUGAGUUUCUCAUCAUUCUGCCAAGUUUAACCAUCAGUGCAGCAGUGACAAUGGGACUAGGCAGCAACAACACAUUCCCAAAUCUCUUAACAGCCCUAUUUCUGCCAGUGGCAAUAUAAAUGCAGCAGCUGAAGAGGAAGCAAAGUCUUGGCCCUCUGCUCCAGCCAGCACCUUGGAAACGUUAACAAAGAGAACAAAUUGCCACUGUGUUUGCAAAGCUCUGCCAGGAAAAAAUGCCUGAGGUUUGCCUUGGUGAUGGCCUAGGUGGUUACAAUUCUGGAGCAGAGAUUUCUGACUGCAGGACCCUUGCUGACAUUGGUGAAAGUGAUAAUGACCAAAAAGGACUAUCAUGCCGUUCCAUUUCUGAAAGUUGCAUCUCUUUGCUGUGUUCUGACACAAGUUGUUAAAAAAAAUUUGCCACAAUUGUGCCUGAAGAGCUGAACAGCAAAAUUUGAAAAACCAGUAACCAACCUGCCAGUUUUAGUAAGAAUGAUUCAUUUGUACAUGCAGUCCACUCAUAAAAAAUCAUCAGAAUUGGCU
ensembl:lncRNA